rnacentral:rRNA from 1 species
GAUGAACGCUGGCGGCGUGCCUAAUACAUGCAAGUCGAGCGAACGGACGAGAAGCUUGCUUCUCUGAUGUUAGCGGCGGACGGGUGAGUAACACGUGGAUAACCUACCUAUAAGACUGGGAUAACUUCGGGAAACCGGAGCUAAUACCGGAUAAUAUUUUGAACCGCAUGGUUCAAAAGUGAAAGACGGUCUUGCUGUCACUUAUAGAUGGAUCCGCGCUGCAUUAGCUGGUUGGUAAGGUAACGGCUUACCAAGGCAACGAUGCAUAGCCGACCUGAGAGGGUGAACGGCCACACUGGAACUGAGCCACGGUCCAGACUCCUACGGGAGGCAGCAGUAGGGAAUCUUCCGCGAUGGGCGAAAGCCUGACGGAGCAACGCCGCGUGAGUGAUGAAGGUCUUCGGAUCGUAAAACUCUGUUAUUAGGGAAGAACAUAUGUGUAAGUAACUGUGCACAUCUUGACGGUACCUAAUCAGAAAGCCACGGCUAACUACGUG